rfam:Heterocephalus glaber contig24170, whole genome shotgun sequence.
GGAUGUGAGGGUGAUUUGGCUGAAACAUCUGCCACCCCGUUGAUUGCCAGGGUUGAUUCAGCUGAUCUGACUGGCUAGGCAGGUGUCCUCUUCCUCCCUUACCAUUCAAUGUGCAUCCCUCCUGAAGCUGCAUACUACAUUGAAAGAGGAAGACCACCCCUGAUAGAGAAAUACCUUUUUCUUAGUCAAGGGUAUACGAGUAGCUGCGCUUCCCCGCUAGAACCUCCAAACAAGCUCUCAAGAAGCCUGAGCCUUCAAUUGACCAACCUGAGUUACAACCAGCCCUCAGGAAUGAAUUGAGCU